GCCCCCGUUGUCUAAUGGCUAUGACGUCAGACUUCUACCAUGGCAUCGUGGGGCAUCUGGAGGUUGCGGGUUCGAGUCCCGCCGGGGGUA